GUAAGCCUAAAGCUGAAAAGAAGCCAUCUUACCACCGACAAGGGACAGAGGCUACCUGGAAAAGACGGAGGGUGAAGGGCUGACACGUGAUAACCCUGGCACCGUCAGUUCAGCAAGCUGGGGCGUCCUCACAGAGCAUUAUUCACAAGAGCCAAAAGGUGGAAAGACCCCAAGUGUCUAUCAAUGGAUGAAUGCACAAACAAAAUGUGGUGUCCACAUCCAAUGGAAUAGUCCUGAUCCUAAAAAGAAGGGAAUUCUGACACACGCUACAACAUAGACGAAUCUUGAUGUCACUGUGAGAAUCGGCAACUCUGUGAAAUCUGCAACACUGGCGUCAUGUUCUCUAAUUCUUAAUCGAGUUACCCACAGAUACAAUAAGCAGAAGCAGUCACUAUGUGCUAUCAUGCCUAAAUAUCCCUUCAAUGACGGUGUGAACAAUGCUAAAUGCUCUAUGGAUGUGACAUUCAUGCAUAUACCAUUACUGGAGUCAAGAGAAAGUACCAGCUUAU